UUCUCAGUGGUCCAACGGUCAAGACUCGUGCCUGUCACGCACGCAACCGGGGUUCGACUCCCCGCUGGGAAG